GGGGUACUGUAAGUGGUAGAGUAGCCUUGUUGCUACGAUCCACUGAGGUUAAGCCCUUGUUCUAAAGAUUUGUUCAACUUUGUUGGACUUUCUCUUUUCUUUUUACAUGCUGAAACCUUGAGGGCCGGGAUAGUAUCCUUUGUGCACUCGCGACAGCAUGUUACUUGCGUUCGAAUGGGUAAGCUAACAACAACUUUGUGUUUUGUUACCUUUCUCGUUUGAAUCAUGAGUUAUUAUGAGCCUUGAAGGCUUAGAAGGAACUUGGUUAGCAAGCUCUAAACGCGCGCUGACUUGGAACGGUCUUUGCCUUGUACUUGAUAUCGACCUUAUGGCCGAUAUCCCGCAUAUGGUAUAGCCAAGAUCCUUGAAAGAGCGAGUUAAUGAGUGAUUUUCUGGAUCGUCAGUGAGCUUGAAUGCCUGCCCUAAGGUUGCCAUGAAUGAAAUGGCCUUAGGAGCUAAGUAAGCUAAGCUACGGUUACCUUUCUAGCCGUUGUAACCGUUUACUUAGCUUUCUAGGGCUACGUUCAAACUUUGAACGGCAACUGGUCCUGAAUCGAAAGGUUUGCUAUGUAAACCUUUAGUCAAGACCUGUUUGCAACAAAUUUGGUGGCUGCAGGGCGAGUUUUCAUUGAUUUGGCCUAUAGCGAAAGUUGGU
rnacentral:misc_RNA from 1 species